rnacentral:RNase_MRP_RNA from 1 species
AUUCCCCCUUCCCACUGUAAAGUCCGCCAAGAAGCGUGGCCCGCUGAGCGGCGUGGUGCGGGGUAGUUGUCCGUCAGCUCUUCUAGUUACGCAGGCAGUGCGUCUUGGCGCACUAACCACACGGGGCUCAUUCUCAGCGCGUCUGG